rnacentral:rRNA from 1 species
GCCAGCCCGCUCAGAAACGUUAAAGGAAGUUGACGGGGGCCCGGCACAAGCGGUGGAGUAUGUGGUUUAAUUCGAUGCAACGCGAAGAACCUUACCUGGUCUUGACAUCCCGGAGACCCUUAGGAAACUAGGGGGUGCUUCCAUCUGGAAGAAUCUGGAGACAGGUGCUGCAUGGCUGUCGUCAGCUCGUGUCGUGAGAUGUUGGGUUAAGUCCCGCAACGAGCGCAACCCUUGCCUUUAGUUGCCAGCAGUUCGGCUGGGCACUCUAAAGGGACUACCGGUGUUAAACCGGAGGAAGGUGGGGAUGACGUCAAGUCCUCAUGGCCUUUAUGACCAGGGCUACACACGUACUACAAUGGCCGAUACAAAGGGCAGCGACACUGCGAGGUGAAGCCAAUCCCGUAAAAUCGGUCUCAGUCCGGAUUGGAGUCUGCAACUCGACUCCAUGAAGUUGGAAUCGCUAGUAAUCGUGGAUCAGCAUGCCACGGUGAAUACGUUCCCGGGCCUU